UACGUAGGGGCGAGCGUUGUCCGGAUUUAUUGGGCGUAAAGAGCGUGUAGGCGGCCAGGUAGGUCUGCUGUGAAACUCGAGGCUCAACCUCGAGACGUCGGCGGAAACCAUCUGGCGUAGAGUCCGGAAGAGGAGAGUGGAAUUGCCGGUGUAGUGGUGAAAGUGCGUGAGAUAUCGGGAGGAACACCGGUGGCGAAGGCGGC
rnacentral:rRNA from 1 species